UACAGAGGGGGCAAGCGUUGUUCGGAAUUACUGGGCGUAAAGGGCUCGUAGGCGGCCAACUAAGUCGGAUGUGAAAUCCCCAGGCUUAACCUGGGAACUGCAUCCGAUACUGGAUGGCUUGAAUUCGGGAGAGGGAUGCAGAAUUCCAGGUGUAGCGGUGAAAUGCGUAGAUAUCUGGAGGAAUACCGGUGGCGAAGGCGGCAUCCUGGACCGAGAUUGACGCUGAUGAGCGAAAGCUAGGGGAGCAAACGGG
rnacentral:rRNA from 1 species